CCUACGGGAGGCAGCAGUCGAGAAUCAUUCACAAUGGGGGAAACCCUGAUGGUGCGACGCCGCGUGGGGGAAUGAAGGUCUUCGGAUUGUAAACCCCUGUCAUGUGGGAGCAAAUUAACAAGAUAGUACCACAAGAGGAAGAGACGGCUAACUCUGUGCCAGCAGCCGCGGUAAUACAGAGGUCUCAAGCGUUGUUCGGAAUCACUGGGCGUAAAGCGUGCGUAGGCUGUUUCGUAAGUCGUGUGUGAAGGGCGCGGGCUCAACCCGCGGACGGCACAUGAUACUGGGAGACUAGAGUAGGGGGAGAGGAACCGGAAUUCUCGGUGUAGCAGUGAAAUGCGUAGAUAUGGAGAGGAACACUCGUGGCGAAGGCGGGUUCCUGGACAUUAACUGACGCUGAGGCACGAAGGCCAGGGGAGCGAAAGGGAUUAGAUACCCGAGUAGUC
rnacentral:rRNA from 1 species